GGGCUCGUAGCUCAGGCGGUAGAGCGCUCGCUUUGCAUGCGAGAGGUCUAGGGUUCAAAUCCCUACGGGUCCA